rnacentral:sRNA from 1 species
CAACAAUAAACGACGCGGGGUAUCAGAACGAACGAUCAGGAUGGAGGCUUCUACGAUUGCUCUGCAAGAUGCACCGGUGAGUCUCUAUCUCUCUUUCUGAUAAGGUUAGUCGCAUUCCGAUCGUCGGAACGUUAAAGUCGACUUCGUGUCCGCAAUAUUAAUACUGCGCCGCUUGAAUUCAGCAUUUGCACGAUGAUCGGCCGAAGGACUUGUCGGCGCGUGGAAGAGAUUUUACAUUAAUUUUCACAAGGAAAUUAGGAUAUUAAUCUGUGAUAAUGUGUUAAAAGCAUUUCAUGUAGAGAAAAAUUGAUAUAUACCUAUAUUAAAUUAUUACUUAA